rnacentral:rRNA from 1 species
GGUGAACCUGCAGAAGGAUCAUUAAAUCAGUUAUCGUUUAUUUGAUAGUACCUUACUACAUGGAUAACCGUGGUAAUUCUAGAGCUAAUACAUGCUAAAAACCUCGACUUCGGAAGGGGUGUAUUUAUUAGAUAAAAAACCAAUGCCCUUCGGGGCUCCUUGGUGAAUCAUAAUAACUUAACGAAUCGCAUGGCCUUGCGCCGGCGAUGGUUCAUUCAAAUUUCUGCCCUAUCAACUUUCGAUGGUAGGAUAGUGGCCUACCAUGGUAUCAACGGGUAACGGGGAAUUAGGGUUCGACUCCGGAGAGGGAGCCUGAGAAACGGCUACCACAUCCAAGGAAGGCAGCAGGCGCGCAAAUUACCCAAUCCCGACACGGGGAGGUAGUGACAAUAAAUACUGAUACAGGGCUCUUUUGGGUCUUGUAAUUGGAAUGAGUACAAUUUAAAUCCCUUAACGAGGAACAAUU